AAUCGAACCCGGAGAUAGCUGGUUCUCCUCGAAAUAGCUUUAGGGCUAGCCUCAUGGAUCAUUGGUGGGGGUAGAGCACUGAAUGUGCGCGGGGGCCACAAAGCCUACCAAACGCUAUCAAACUUCGAAUACCAUACAAUGCAGACCAUGGGAGUCAGUCCGCGAGAGAUAAGUUCCGCGGGCAAAAGGGGAACACCCCAGAUCAACCGCUAAGGUCCUCAAGUUCACGUUAAGUGGAGAAGGAUGUGGAAUUGCACAGACAACCAGGAUGUUGGCUCAGAAGCAGCCACACAUUUAAAGAGUGCGUAAUAGCUCACUGGUCGAGUGAUUGUGCGCCGAAGAUGUCCGGGGCUAAACGUGACACCGAAGCGAUGGGUGCAUCUGAAAGGAUGCGCGGUAGAGGAGCAAUGUGCAGAGGCAGAAGCCGUAUCGAGAGGCACGGUGGACACUGCACAAGAGAGAAUGCCGGUAUGAGUAGCGAGAGGCAUGCGAGAAACAUGCCCGUCGAAAGCCCAAGGUUUCCUGGGGAAGGUUCAUCCGCCCAGGGUAAGUCGGGGCCUAAGCCGAGGACGGAAGUCGUAGGCGAUGGACAGCAGGUGUAGAUUCCUGCACUACCGAUGGAAUGAAGCAGUGACACAGAAGGAUAACUCGAGCAGGGUGAUGGUCAACCCUGUGCAAGCAUCAAGGUUGGGUUGUAGUGAAGUACGCAAUCCUAUAAGCUGAGAUGUGAUGCGGACCGAAAUUUCAGUAGGGAAGCGAGUGAGUUCACGCUGGCGAGAAAAGCUGCUAGUACAUCCAAAGGUACCCGUACCGGAAACCGACGCAGGUGGGCGAGGAGAGAAUCCUGAGACGAACGGGAGAACCCUUGUUAAGGAACUCGGCAAAAUGACCCCGUAACUUCGGGAUAAGGGGUGCCUGCGAGAGCAGGCCGCAGAGAAUAGUCACAAGCGACUGUUUAGCAAAAACACAGGUAUCUGCGAAAGCGAGAGCUGACGUAUAGGUGCUGACACCUGCCCGGUGCUGGAAGGUUAAGGGAACAUGUUAGAGCAAUCGAAGCAUCGAACCGAAGCCCCAGUAAACGGCGGCCGUAACUAUAACGGUCCUAAGGUAGCGAAAUUCCUUGUCGGGUAAGUUCCGACCCGCACGAAUGGUGUAACGACUUGUGAGCUGUCUCAACAGGGGGCCCGGUGAAAUUGAAGUAUGGGUGAAGAUGCCCAUUACCCGCGACUGGACGGAAAGACCCCGUAGAGCUUUACUGCAGCCUGAUAUUGAGUUUCGGUAACUGAUGCACAGGAUAGGUGGGAGUCUGAGAGACACGGGUUUCGGCUCAUGUGGAGACGCUGUUGGGAUACCACUCUUCGGUUACUGAAAUUCUAACAUAGCUCUGUGAAACCAGAGGAUGGACAGUGUCAGGUGGACAGUUUGACUGGGGCGGUCGCCUCCGAAAGAGUAACGGAGGCGCCCAAAGGUACCCUCAGAAUGGAUGGAAACCAUUCGAAGAGCGCAAAGGCAGAAGGGUGCCUGACUGCGAGAUUGACAAAUCGAGCAGAGACGAAAGUCGGGCUUAGUGAUCCGGCGGUAUUGAGUGGAAAAGCCGUCGCUUAACGGAUAAAAGCUACCUCGGGGAUAACAGGCUGAUCUCCCCCAAGAGUCCACAUCGACGGGGAGGUUUGGCACCUCGAUGUCGGCUCAUCGCAUCCUGGGGCUGUAUUCGGUCCCAAGGGUUUGGCUGUUCGCCAAUUAAAGCGGCACGCGAGCUGGGUUCAGAACGUCGUGAGACAGUUCGGUCCCUAUCCAUCGUGGGCGUAGGAGUCAUGAGAGGAGCUGUUCCUAGUACGAGAGGACCGGAAUGGACGCACCACUGGUGCAACUGUUGUCGUGCCAACGGCAUAGCAGGGAAGCGAAGUGCGGAUGGGAUAAACGCUGAAGGCAUCUAAGCGUGAAGCCCACCUCAAGAAUAAGACUCCACAAUAGACCCCUGGAGGACUACCAGGUAGAUAGGUCAUCGGUGGAAGCGCCGUAAGGUGU
rnacentral:rRNA from 1 species